AGCGCGAGAGAGCUUGCUCUCUUGGCGGCGAGUGGCGGACGGGUGAGUAAUAUAUCGGAACGUGCCCAGUAGCGGGGGAUAACUACUCGAAAGAGUGGCUAAUACCGCAUACGCCCUACGGGGGAAAGGGGGGGAUCGCAAGACCUCUCACUAUUGGAGCGGCCGAUAUCGGAUUAGCUAGUUGGUGGGGUAAAGGCUCACCAAGGCAACGAUCCGUAGCUGGUUUGAGAGGACGACCAGCCACACUGGGACUGAGACACGGCCCAGACUCCUACGGGAGGCAGCAGUGGGGAAUUUUGGACAAUGGGGGAAACCCUGAUCCAGCCAUCCCGCGUGUAUGAUGAAGGCCUUCGGGUUGUAAAGUACUUUUGGCAGAGAAGAAAAGGUAUCCCCUAAUACGGGAUACUGCUGACGGUAUCUGCAGAAUAAGCACCGGCUAACUACGUGCCAGCAGCCGCGGUAAUACGUAGGGUGCAAGCGUUAAUCGGAAUUACUGGGCGUAAAGCGUGUGUAGGCGGUUCGGAAAGAAAGAUGUGAAAUCCCAGGGCUCAACCUUGGAACUGCAUUUUUAACUGCCGAGCUAGAGUAUGUCAGAGGGGGGUAGAAUUCCACGUGUAGCA
rnacentral:rRNA from 1 species